rnacentral:rRNA from 1 species
GCUUGGCCCUAAACCUCAGCAGUUAGAUAACAAAACUACUCGCCAGAAUACUACAAGCAACAGCUUAAAACUCAAAGGACUUGACGGUGCUUUACACCCCCUAGAGGAGCCUGUUCCGUAAUCGAUAAACCCCGAUCCACCCCACCCUCUCUUGCUCAGCCUAUAUACCGCCAUCUUCAGCAAACCCUAAUGAAGGCUACAAAGUGAGCGCAAACGCCACUCCGCGAAUACGUUAGGUCAAGGUGUAGCCCAUGAGACGGUAAAAAAUGGGCUACAUUUUCUAUUUCAGAAAACCCACGAAAACCCUUAUGAAACUUAAGGGUCCAAGGAGGAUUUAGCAGUAAAUUAAGAAUAGAGUGCUUAAUUGAACCAGGCCAUAAAGCGCG